rnacentral:rRNA from 1 species
AGCAGCCGCGGUAAUUCCAGCUCCAAUAGCGUAUAUUAAAGUUGUUGCAGUUAAAAAGCUCGUAGUUGAAUUUCGGGGCCAGUAGGUUGGUCGUGCCACUGGUAUGCACUGGCCUUACUGGUCCCUCCCUCUUGUAGAACCGUGAUGCCAUUAAUUUGGUGUUGCGGGGAAACAGGACUGUUACUUUGAAAAAAUUAGAGUGCUUAAAGCAGGCUCGCGCUUGAAUACAUUAGCAUGGAAUAACGGAAUAGGACGAUCGAACCUAUUUUGUUGGUUUCUAGGAUCGACGUAAUGAUUAAUAGGGAUAGUUGGGGGCAUUAGUAUUCAAUUGUCAGAGGUGAAAUUCUUGGAUUUAUUGAAGACUAACUACUGCGAAAGCAUUUGCCAAGGAUGUUUUCAUUAAUCAAGAACGAAAGUUAGGGGAUCGAAGACGAUCAGAUACCGUCGUAGUCUUAACCAUAAACUAUGCCGACUAGGGAUCGGAUGAUGUUAAUUUUUUAAUGACUCA